UACGGAGGGUGCGAGCGUUGUCCGGAAUCACUGGGCGUAAAGGGCGCGUAGGCGGCUUGGGAAGUCCAUGGUGAAAGCUCGCGGCUCAACUGCGAGUCGGCCAAGGAUACUCCUGAGCUCGAGUCGACUAGAGGCUAAUGGAAUUCCGGGUGUAGCGGUGGAAUGCGUAGAGAUCCGGAAGAACACCGGUGGCGAAGGCGGUUAGCUGGGGUCGGACUGACGCUGAGGCGCGACAGCGUGGGGAGCAAACAGG
rnacentral:rRNA from 1 species